GCAAAGCUGUUUCUGUUGGGGGAGUGGUGCGCGCAGGCUGGGCGCGUGCUGCCCCUCAACUAACCUGGCACUCGGCAUCCAUCACUGCGUGCAAAACUAAACCGUACCGCAACCUCGGAUCUCUGCUAUUUUAUUACACGAGGUUUCACCAGGACGCUCCGUGUGCUUAAGUGACGCCCGAUCUCAGCUCCAUUACGUUCACAGAUCACCCCACAAAAGCCGCUGCGCUUAACAACCCCCUCAGCAGCAAACCCCUCCCUCUGCAGCGCGUGGCCGCUCCGCCUGGGCAGGCAGAGGCGCGCGGAGCCACGUGCGGCAGCGAAGGUGCGCAUGCUCACAAGGCGGGGCUGACGAGAAGGGAGAGAGCGGGAAUAAAGGCACGUGCUGCGGAGGGGUGCUUAUUAGUUCUCGUAAAGGAGGAGUGCGGAUGGCUGUUUAGUUUGUUCGGUGCUGCUGCGCUGCAGAGCGGCGGUUGUGGUCACGAGCGCGCGGUGGUGCGCGCCUGAGGAGGUCUUGGUGAAGGCGAAGUGCUGUGUCUGCGCCUUCUGAGCUCGUUUCUGAGUUAUUCCAUGCUUCACAACGUGCGUGCAGGCUUAAUUGUAAUGAAGGAAUGAGAGAAAAAAUAUUUGGAGGAAAAAUUUCAUGGUCUACUUCAUAAAACCACGACAGGAAUGUUUAACAUCAUUCUAAGUUUCUUAAAUCUCUGUUUGAACAUCUUCAUACCAUUUUGUCCUUCUUUGCGUGUUCCCCACUUGAUGGCAGUGCAACAACACGUAUGGAAAUAGAGAGGACUGAAAAGCUUGGUUUUAAAGCUUACACCUCAGAUGUUUCCCAAGAAAUCUCCUGGGCAAGUCAUGCUGAAGAGGACUGUUUCCUGGAUUUUGGUGUAUCUGGAUAUACUGUUGCACCUUGAAACUCCCUGCAGAUCCUUGCCCGUGGAGGGAUGUGAUGACAAUUUGAGAAUAGCAGAAUGACAGUAAGCAUUACUCUGUUUUGCAGUUAUCAUUUUCAAAAACCUGGUCCUAGAAAACCAGUUUGAUUCACUGUAGUCAUAUGGUAGUUUUUUUAUUAAAGUUUACUUAUUUUCCAUAUAGACAGAAAGGAGAUAUAUAUGAGACUGUGCAAUAGCUGUAUGUAAUAACCAUAUGCUAUCUUGUGGUAUGAGGGAUUUGUUAUCAACUUGAUAAAUUUGGAUUUCAGCUUUUGUUUCUCAAGCCAUCUAGAAUAGACUUUAUAUAAACUUCUGUAUGACGUUUCUGCAAAAAUAUGGAUUUGUCAGUUAUUGAUUGCUGAAUUAUCUGGACCAAGAACAGCGCUACUAGUAUGCCUAUUAGGUGCAAUUGUAUUGGUCCCAUAGUCAGACACAAUUGAAUAAGUAUCCCACUUUUUACACUCUUUAUGAUGCUUAGAGUGCCAGUACUGAGCUAAGACCUGAUACAGUGACAGUUCAGAUUUAGUAAAGUUACUACUGUAGGCACUUAUGAGGAGAGUAGCAAAGAUUUGCUGUAGUUGUAUCAUUGAUUUUAUUUCUGCCAUUUAUUUUGACAUCUAUUUUUAUGACAGUUUCAUUUGUAUUUGUAUAUUUAUAAACCUGAUAAACAUUCACGUAAUAUGA